UACGUAGGGGGCAAGCGUUGUCCGGAAUCAUUGGGCGUAAAGAGCGCGUAGGCGGUCUGUUGCGUCCGCUGUGAAAACUCGGGGCUUAACCCCGAGCCUGCAGUGGAUACGGGCAGACUAGAGGUAGGUAGGGGAGAAUGGAAUUCCCGGUGUAGCGGUGAAAUGCGCAGAUAUCGGGAGGAACACCGGUGGCGAAGGCGGUUCUCUGGGCCUGUACUGACGCUGAGGAGCGAAAGCGUGGGGAGCGAACAGG
rnacentral:rRNA from 1 species